rnacentral:rRNA from 1 species
AGUGAAUAGAUACCCAGGUAGUCCCAGCUGUAAACGAUGCGCGUUAGGUGUAUCGGUGACCACGAGUCAUCGAGGUGCCGAAGGGAAACCGUGAAACGUGCCGCCUGGGAAGUACGGUCGCAAGGCUGAAACUUAAAGGAAUUGGCGGGGGAGCACCACAACGGUGGAGCCUGCGGUUUAAUUGGACUCAACGCCGGGCAGCUCACCGGAUAAGACAGCUGGAUGAUAGCCGGGCUGAAGACUCUGCUUGACUAGCUGAGAGGAGGUGCAUGGCCGUCGUCAGUUCGUACUGUGAAGCAUCCUGUUAAGUCAGGCAACGAGCGAGACCCACGCCAA